UACUCGAGUGGCGAACGGGUGAGUAACACGUGGGUGAUCUGCCCUGCACUUCGGGAUAAGCUUGGGAAACUGGGUCUAAUACCGGAUAGGAGCCAUCUUUAGUGUGGUGGUUGGAAAGUUUUUUCGGUGUAUGAUGAGCUCGCGGCCUAUCAGCUUGUUGGUGGGGUAAUGGCCUACCAAGGCGGCGACGGGUAGCCGGCCUGAGAGGGUGUACGGCCACAUUGGGACUGAGAUACGGCCCAG
rnacentral:rRNA from 1 species